rnacentral:rRNA from 1 species
CUUUCGCCCGCCGGCGACCGGCGCACGGGUGAGUAACACGUAUGCAACCUGGCCGCCACAGGGGGAGUAACCCGCGGAAACGCGGCCUAAUACCCCGUGACGCCACCGGAGGGCAUCCUCCGGUGGCCAAAGGAGCGAUCCGGUGGCGGAUGGGCAUGCGGCGCAUUAGGCAGUAGGCGGGGUAACGGCCCACCUAACCGACGAUGCGUAGGGGUUCUGAGAGGAAGGUCCCCCACACUGGUACUGAGACACGGACCAGACUCCUACGGAAGGCAGCAG